AUGGCGCCUCCCUCUCCCUCUCCCGCGCAUCCUCCUCCUAGCACGCUUCCGCAUUCUCGUGCCUCUCCCACGCUUCAUCCCUCUCCUCCUUCCCACCUGCCGCCACCGCCGCCGCUGCCACGCUUCAGCUUCUCGCCUCCUCUUACUUCCGCCUCCGCCGCCGUUCUUCACCUGUCACUACCCGCCAGAAUCACUCCGGACCAAUAUUCGGCUUCCCACGUACCGUUCUCUCUUGUCAAGAUUCAUCAGCUCACCCUUGCCCGCGUCCUGUUCGAUGAAAUGUCGCAAUCUUUGUUCUUAUGA
rnacentral:rRNA from 1 species